rnacentral:rRNA from 1 species
CCUACGGGAGGCAGCAGUGAGGAAUAUUGGUCAAUGGGCGGGAGCCUGAACCAGCCAAGUCGCGUGAGGGAAGACGGUCCUAUGGAUUGUAAACCUCUUUAGGCGGGGAGCAAUGCCGGGCACGCGUGCCCGGAGGGAGAGUACCCGCAGAAUAAGCAUCGGCUAACUCCGUGCCAGCAGCCGCGGUAAUACGGAGGAUGCGAGCGUUAUCCGGAUUUAUUGGGUUUAAAGGGUGCGUAGGCGGGUUUUUAAGUCAGCGGUAAAAUGUCCGGGCUCAACCCGGGCCGGCCGUUGAAACUGGGGAGCUUGAGUGGGCGAGAAGUAUGCGGAAUGCGUGGUGUAGCGGUGAAAUGCAUAGAUAUCACGCAGAAAUCCGAUUGCGAAGGCAGCAUACCGGCGCCCGACUGACGCUGAGGCACGAAAGCGUGGGGAUCGAACAGGAUUAGAUACCCGUGUAGUC